ACUCGGGUAGCUUAAUUAAAGUGUCAUGUUGAAGUUAUGGAGAUGGAUGUAAUCCCUUGAGUG
rnacentral:tRNA from 1 species